UCCUUUACUAGCAGCGUCCGAGGCCAUGAGAGGGGAGCAGACAGCGGAGAGGCGAGCUCGUGCGAGAGAGAGAGCCGGAAGCAAGAAAACAAAAACGCAGAAUAAAGAGACUGUUGAGCCUAAAUUGCAGAUUCAUUCUUCCACCCAAGCUACAGAGAACCCAGACACGCAGCGACCGGUCACAGCGUCGUUACGAUUCUCAACGUAUUCAUGACAAAGCCAGGAAUAAAACGAAGAUUUGUGUAGGGGGUACUUUUGAAAGAUAGAGACGAUUGAAGGCGGAGAAGAUUUUUUCAUGUGACGCCAAACUUGCUUAUUUCCUCCUUGAUAGGACCUGGUCUUGGACGUAUUUUUGCAAGGGGUUGGGAGCCACCCGGAGCCUUUCAUCUGGUUAUCGUUCCCAGACCAACAGCCAGACGGAACGGGCUAACGAGGACCUGGAGGCUGCUGUCCACUGAGUGUGAGAUCGCCAUCCCAUCCGUUCACCAGCACACCCCCCGAGCUCCUCGGGUGUGGCGGAAUACUAGAGAGGCUUUGUCCCAGACGGCAGGCCAGAACUUUAGGCUGGCGGAUUGUCACAUGAUACCAUCACCCCCUUAUUAACCUGGACAAGAGGCAUGGCUGUUUUUUCAGGACUUAUCAUUGGCUGGCUCCUCCGGGAAGAUUUCUCCCAGGUUUGUGGGGCCCUUCAAUAUAACCAGGAUCAUCAGCCCUGUGACGAUCUAACUCCAGCUGCCUCCAUCCAUCAAGUUGACAUUAAGUGAUCUAUGUCUCCAAUCCUAAGCCGGUUACCACAAGUCCGCUGUGCCCUCCGUCAACGCGUCCCUCUCCUUGGCGCAUGAUCGGUGGUCACCCAGCAUAGACUGUGAAGGCCAUCUUAGACUCCAGAAGGCGGGGCAGAGGUGUUCAGUAUCUGGUCGACUGGGAGGGCUACGGUCCUGUAGAACGCUCAUUGUUCUGUAUCCUCGAUCCCUCCCUUCUGCGUGUACUGUCACUCUCCAACUUGAGAAACCAUGUACACCACCAGGGGCCACCUUCUAGAGGGGGAGGUACUGUCAUGAUCUGUCAUCUCUGCUGCUGCCUGUCUACUUUUUGUUGCAGUGCCUGGUUUCUUGGUCACGGGGCAAAGCCACCUACGCGUGGAGGCCACUGUGCUCAUUAGGACCUUCAAGGAGCAAAUAUUUUUCUGUCCCCUUAUCAAGAUUUGUGCAUCGAGACGAUCCUGUCUCGGAGGUCUACAAACAAUUCCUUCGACUUCAUUCUUGGUUUGUGUUCUGCCAUGCAUUGCCAAGUGUGGGACCUUAUAUAUAUAGACAGGUGUGUGCCUUUCCAAAUCAUGUCCAACCAACUGAAUUUACCACAGGUAGACUCCAAUUAAGCUGUAGGAACAUCUCAAGGAUGAUCAGUUGAAACAGGAUGCAGCUGAGUUCACUUUUGAGCUUCAUGGCAAAGGCUGUGAAUACUUAUGUACAUGUUUUUUAGUUUUUUCAAAAAAAUUUUCUAAAAAAUUUUCAUUAUAGGGUAUUGUGUGUAGGAUUUUGAGGACAAAAAAUUACUUAUUUUAUUUUGGAAUAAGGCUGUACGUGUUACAUAACAAAAUGUGCGCUGUGAAGACUUUACGGAUACACUGUAGAAGUUAUUAAGUUUAUAGUGUUUUUAAAAGGUAGGAAUUUAAUUUUUUGUUACAGUUUAAUCAAUGUUUUUUGGUGUUUUUUGCAACCAACAGUAAUUUCUAAAAUACUGAAAACAGUGUUUUCUAGCUUCCACUGGUGGACAUGAGGACUUAAUACUACUUCAUAUAAAAUAAUGAAGACAUGCAUGUUUAUGAUAACCAAGGUAAAAAAACGACUUCUUGCAGUAUCAUUUAUAAUACAAUGGGAGUGUGCAUAACAUUUACAAAAUGGUGGAAUAAAAGAAACGUAAAGUUUAAGCUCAAAUGACAAUUUUCAAUGUUUAAAUAAAACGACAAUAAGAAAUAUAGUUAGGCUAUCAACUUGGAUAUAAUUGUUGUUUUAUGAAAGGUUGUUCCUGUUAUUAAAACAAUAGAAUGAUGGAUGCCUUGUCCACUGCAAAGGACAUUUAAUAAAAGGAUUAACACAUUUUCUGACACAGUGUAACUAUUCAAUGCAAAAAUAAUUGCAACCUUUAUUUUUCUGAGUCUCAGGAGGUUAAAGUAACACAUAUUGGACUUUUACAUUAAUAUUGGCAUGCAUCAUGUUGAAUGUAUACCAAAUGAUGAGCCACCUGCCAGCUUUCCCCAGUGUGAAUACUGUACCUCUGUCAUUUGAACUCUGUGCCCUCUUGCCUGCCUUGGCCGCCAUCCAGCAGCCGGCCUCCUCCUUCCUCCUCUAGGACAAGCGCGUCACUACGACAACCAGAUGGCAGCUGUGCCCAUUUGCCAGCCCCAGUCUCCUCCUUGCUCGUCUGGAUGCGACUCCGGUUUGUCUGUUCACCGUCGCUGUGAAGCAGGAAUGCGACUGACAUUUGACUUUGGCAAAAAGCAAAGCAAAAGAAAACGUAUGACUUUCAAGCAAAAAAUUUUUUUAAAAAAAGGAAGAAAAAGUGCAAGAGCACAAGUUGUCAUUUCAACUGAUCAAUACCAGCUGGUCUUGUCAGGUUUCUUGUCUAUCUAGACAAGAAACCUGCUAGAAUACUUCAGU